rnacentral:rRNA from 1 species
GACGAACGCUGGCGGCGCGCUUAACACAUGCAAGUCGAACGGAAAGGCCUGCUUUCCCUUGUGGAUUGCGGGUACUCGAGUGGCGAACGGGUGAGUAACACGUGAGUGAUCUGCCCCCAACUUGGGUAUAAGCCUGGGAAACUGGGUCUAAUUCCCGAUAGGACUGCAGGGUGGUGCCUGUGGUGGAAAACGAUUUUCUAGUGGUUGGGGAUGAGCUCGCGGCCUAUCAGCUUGUUGGUGGGGUAAUGGCCUACCAAGGCGGCGACGGGUAGCCGGCCUGGGAGGGUGGACGGCGACAGUGGGACUGAGACACGGCCCAGACGCCGACGGGAGGCAGCAGUGGGGAAUAUUGGACAAGGGGCGGAAGCCUGAUGCAGCGACGCCGGGUGGGGGAUGACGGCUUUCGGGUUGUAAACUCCUUGCGACCGCGAGGAAGCCACCUGGUUGGAAGGGUGGUGACGGUAGUGGUAGAAGAGGCACCGGCUAACUACGUG